CACAUUUUAAUAGACAUAAAUAUCCUCAUAUAUUAUGAAUUUUAAGUUUUAAGGUCAAGGGUAUUUGAAUAAUCUCCAUUCUCAGAACUAAAAAAAACAAGAAACCCCCAAACCCUUACUCAUCUCUCUCAUCCCUCGUUCCUCUCAACCCUUUCUCUUUCAUCUCUCUUACUCCAACAUUGUCCCUAUCAUCUCUACAGUAGUCCCAACUGAAAAAUCAGAAACACUCACCUGACCCUAAUCCACCUUCCUCACUUGUGCAAUUUGUUUCUCUCUCAUCUCCAUCCUCUUUC
rnacentral:lncRNA from 1 species